UACGUAGGGUGCAAGCGUUGUCCGGAAUUACUGGGCGUAAAGGGCUCGUAGGCGGUUUGUCGCGUCGGGAGUGAAAACUCAGGGCUUAACCCUGAGCCUGCUUCCGAUACGGGCAGACUAGAGGUAUGCAGGGGAGAAUGGAAUUCCUGGUGUAGCGGUGAAAUGCGCAGAUAUCAGGAGGAACACCGGUGGCGAAGGCGGUUCUCUGGGCAUUACCUGACGCUGAAGAGCGAAAGUGUGGGGAGCGAACAGG
rnacentral:rRNA from 1 species